rnacentral:lncRNA from 1 species
AUAUAUAUAUAUAUAUAUAUAUAUAUAAAAAACAAGACAACAUUUAUAUGUCCAUUCAGAUGCUUCAUGCUAAACCAAACCGAUAUGUCUUUAUUUCAGCCUACCACAUAAAACUGGGCAACGCUCAUGGUCCAAACAUCUAUCCAUCAAACCACCAAAGAAAACUUGUUUUUGGACUCAGGCCCAAGUAAACUAACUAGCCCAGUGGAUUGACUCUCAGAGGCAGACUUUGGAGGAGCUGUGAAACAAGCAGCCACCGGGCACAGACAUGAAAAACAUUCCUGUCUACACACACAUUAUGUAGUCAGGCUUUGUGCUCUUAAGAGGUGUUCUAAUCCAGGAAGCUUAUCCAAGUUUAUCUGUUACAAUCGUGUUGAUCUGGGCUUGGUGUAGCAGGACAGACCACCAGUCCAUCACAGAGACACAACUACACACAACUAUACACACCUAAUGUCAGUUUUAGAAUUACCAGUCAGGCUGUGGUGGGAUGAAACCAGGCUACCCAGUUAAAUCCCAUGCAUACACAGGGAGAAAGCCCUCAGCCAGGAAUUUAAUCCAGGAUCUGCUUGCAGCAAAACAACAGUGCUGACCAACUUCACCACUGUGCAUCCCCAUUUAACCCUUAAAUCAAGAUGCAAUAGAUUUAAGUUUUUAAUGAAUAAACCAACUUUUUCUCUUUUCUGAAGCAAGGGCAAAGAAGGCAGCAGAGAGAGAAGCCAAAGCAAAGAAGCAGAAAGCCCCAAAGCCUACAAAGAAGCCCAAACUACCAAAGCCUACCAAGAAACCAAAACCACCUAAACCUACUAAAAAACCAAAGGCACCCAAACCCACUAAGAAGACCAAAACAACGACCAUGGCACAGCCAGACAUCCAGCCUCCUUCUUUGGAAGAGGAGCAGGAGAAACUUGGCUUGAACACAAUGAUUCCUCCCAUCACCCCGAAGGAGUCUGUUGAGCCAGACCUGGAUACAAAGAAUGCAACAUCUCCAACCAAAUCCCUCAGUGAGGUUGAUCCAGACUACUGGGACAGAAUUCAGGCGCGUGGUAGAUACCCUGUUAAAAAGGAGGUCACAACUACUGCGGUCAUCAUGUACAUACCAGGUAAUUACACACACUGCCAUGACAGUUCGUUUUGGGUAUUAGAGUAACAAGGAGGAACAAAUAGUGGGAAACAAAAUAACGUUCAGAUCUUUACUGACUUUACUACCUGACUCAGCCAAAAGAACAUAACAUUUGUUUUUUUACAUUUGUGAAGAGCUGGGGUUGUCUGCUUCCUGAUGUUGUGCUGAAAUCUGGAUUUAUUUAGGCAGAGCAACAGGACUGUUUUCUUUUGACAUGAAUCAAGAUUUAAAAUAUGUUCAGAUUCAUUUUACUUUGCACCAAGAUAAAUUAAAAAUGAAUGAAUCAUUAUUUUUUGUAAAUUCAUCCAUAAUAAAAUGCAAUAAGUAUGAGGACAGAGAAUGGAAAAUUUAAAAAACUGGACAGCAGAAUAUGACUAGCACAUUUAUUAGCUAACAAACAAGAUCUCUGAGGCAUGAAGUACAAAACUGAAUUAAUUCAGGUCUACAUGAACAUUUCAUUUAUCUCAAAUGUCACAUUUUCUCAUUUAAUUUUCUGAUUAGUCAACUAGAAUCAGAUGUCAAAGUGAAAAAAAACCAAGGUUAUCAAAAUCUUUUCCCACAGUAAACUGUACUGAUAAAUUUGGACAGUAGGUUUGGUAAAGCUGAACAGAUUCACGUCCUGCAUCAUAGAGGAGUACUGAUCUCAGAUCUGUAUGCUCACCUCUACAGACUCAUUCAAACACGCAACAGUAAAAUAAAACUGUCUUCACGUAAAGUUGAAUUAAGCCGGUUUUACCAACACCUAAAUGUUUUAUUUAAAGCAAUCAAAGUUUGAUCUGCAAAAUCUGAAGACAUUUAAAGAACUAAAGCUACUCAUUGCGCUGAAAUGAACGCAGUGACAAGUAAGUAUUUCCACAAAAACAGACAAAAGGGGAUUUCCAAAGGACACUGCUGUUUUUCAGGUCAACAGAAAAUAUUUUAUGUUAUUUCCUUUUUCAGCUCUCUGCACCAGUUAAGAAGCAUAUCUUCCAUUUUCUGUGAACAAAACUUUGAACUUGUAAAUGGUGAAUUUGCACGACAGCAAGUGGAGGUUUCAGAUCAGUGCCUCUGGCUUUAGUCAAUACCUGCCAAUAAAACUCAGUCCUUCAUCUCUCUGUUUAAAUCCUCUUGUUUAACUGUUCCAUCACGAUGUCCACGUGAACCAAAGAAAUAGUUAGAUCAAACUAAGAUUUUCUUCUUUUUCAGAGGAAACCACCUCUGUUCCAUUUGUUGGCCCCUGGUAUGAAGACUACGACUACACCGACUGUAAAUUUGCGUCUUGUCUUCUGAACAAACAUCAUGAAUGAUGUGACGUGAGGCUCUUCAGUGUGGCAGAGAGAUGAGUUACUUUCUGUUCCUUUCACAGUGGCAGCAAAGAAACAAGAAGAAGAGGAGGAGAGAGUUAGGAAGGAGAAGGCAGAAAAAGGUGAUAAAAGUUAAUACUUGAGGGGAAUGGGUGUGGGGUGUUGGUGGAGUCCAAUAAAAUGCACAGAAUUCUGCUCUGGAUUGCACAAAAAAUAGAGGCACGCCUUUUAGAUAAAGUAAAUGUGAGAAAAGCGUGAGACAAGGGGGAGCAUGGGAACCCAAGGUGUGUGUGUUUUGACCUGCUGUCUCUUC